rnacentral:rRNA from 1 species
GGGUGCGAGCGUUGUCCGGAAUCACUGGGCGUAAAGGGCGCGUAGGCGGCCUGAUAAGUAGGGGGUGAAAUCCUGCGGCUUAACCGCAGGGCUGCCUUCUAAACUGUCAGGCUUGAGCACAGUAGAGGCAGGUGGAAUUCCCGGUGUAGCGGUGGAAUGCGUAGAGAUCGGGAAGAACAUCAGUGGCGAAGGCGGCCUGCUGGGCUGUUGCUGACGCUGAGGCGCGACAGCGUGGGGAGCAAACAGG